rnacentral:rRNA from 1 species
AUUGAACGCUGGCGGCAUGCUUUACACAUGCAAGUCGAACGGUAACAGGGAGCUUGCUCCGCUGACGAGUGGCGAACGGGUGAGUAAUGCAUCGGAACGUACCCAGUCGUGGGGGAUAACGUAGCGAAAGUUACGCUAAUACCGCAUACGUCCUGAGGGAGAAAGCGGGGGACCGUAAGGCCUCGCGCGAUUGGAGCGGCCGAUGUCGGAUUAGCUAGUUGGUGGGGUAAAGGCCUACCAAGGCGACGAUCCGUAGCGGGUCUGAGAGGAUGAUCCGCCACACUGGGACUGAGACACGGCCCAGACUCCUACGGGAGGCAGCAGUGGGGAAUUUUGGACAAUGGGGGCAACCCUGAUCCAGCCAUGCCGCGUGAGUGAAGAAGGCCUCGGUUGUAAGACUCUUCUAGCCGGAGAAAGACGCACUCUCUACAUAGGUAGUGGAGUGACGGUACCGGAACGGAAGAAGGACACCGGCUAACUACGUAGCCAGCAGCCGCGGUAAGAGU